UACGUAGGGUGCAAGCGUUGUCCGGAAUCACUGGGCGUAAAGGGUGCGUAGGCGGGUCUUUAAGUCAGGGGGGAAAUCCUGGAGCUCAACUCCAGAACUGCCUUUGAUACUGAGGAUCUUGAGUUCGGGAGAGGUGAGUGGAACUGCGAGUGUAGAGGUGAAAUUCGUAGAUAUUCGCAAGAACACCAGUGGCGAAGGCGGCCCACUGGCCCGAUACUGACGCUGAGGCACGAAAGCGUGGGGAGCAAACAGG
rnacentral:rRNA from 1 species